AACCCAACCCUCAGCCCAAAACUUAAUUAAGAAUUAAGAAGUUGUUUGAUUAGGUUCUAGGAUUGUGAAUUGAAGAACCUAAGACACAAAUCAUAACACAUUGGGUUAAUGGGUUAGUGGGAAUUAGGUCCAUUAAUUAGGUUAGACCUAUGGUUAGAUUGAAGAUGGACUUAAUUAGAGAAUUGACUAAAUCUAAUCAAUUAUUGUCUUAGAUUAGGUCAAGGAUUCUCUAGAUCAAUUACAAUAGUUGUAGUUGGUCAAGUCCACAUCUUUAAUGAGAACCUAAUGGACUUGAUUCUUGGCUAAGCGGUCUAGCACGAACUGUUAGGUUGAUCUAAUCGAAACUAAUUAAACCAGUUGGUGUCUAAGGUAAACCAGACUGGUGGUUUUUAAUUGGGAGCCCGCUUACCUGGCCAUUUUUUAUGGUGUCUAAGGCAAGCUUUGGCAGACCCUCCCACUGAUCGAACUUACCUGACCUCUUGGUGAAAUUAUGUUUUGAUUGGAUCACUUGACUAUUCGAGCUGACCCAUGUCAACUAGGUAAAUCAGUGUGACUGAUUUAGGUGCUCCUAGACCAGCCCUUUUAAUGGUCUCCCUUGAGCUGACUUGGUGAAGCCAGUGGGGGGAUCAUGAUAAGCUGAUUCAUCUGACCUCAUCCUCUAAAUUAUUUAAAUAUUCUAAAAUUAUUAGGUCCUUAAAAUGAUAAAGUUAUGGAGAUAACUGAGUCAUAGCCUCCCAUUAAGGUAUUUGAUAAUGAGUCCAUUAACUCAAUAAUCAUUGCAGACCCAAAGGCCUGGUGCUUGUUGACUAAUGGAAUUAUCACUCAUCAUAUGAUGACUUGAAAGUGUCUCUCUAAUGGUGGUUAGGUGAGCCAACCAAAGUUGGGCUUAAUCAUUCAUUGGUUAGAUACACCAAGUAUGAUCAUGUUAAUGGUUGGACCUAAUCGGAUCCUUACAGUAGAGGCCAAAGCCUACUGAUUAGGUUUCUGGGGCAAAAUUAAAAUUACUAAAAAUUAUUUAGAAAAAUAAUUGGUUAUGAACCUACCCUUAGAUGUACAUGGGUUGGCCAACCAAAGUUGGGCUUGUGUACAAUCUAAGUGAAUUUUAGUACCCACUAAGGAAUUAGGGUAAUUCUUCAAAUUGGAGGUAGAGGCUACCAAUUUGAAUAAAAUAGUGGGAGAAACCUUUUGAUUAAAGUCCAAAUCUUUAGGUUUAAUGAAUCAAUUACUAAUUAGGUUAUGGUUCUCCUUUGUGCAAAUAUGGCCACUUCCCUAUCGCUCCGAUCAUUGUUGGACAAUGAUAAGUUGGUGGGACCCAACUUCGGUAGCUGGUACUGAAAGUUGAAGAUAGUUCUGGAGUAUGAACAGAUCCUAUAUGUGAUAAUGGAUCCUGCACCUAAGGAGCCAGCUGUCAAUGCAUGUGGAACAGUCAGAGACACUUACCAGAAGUGG
rnacentral:lncRNA from 1 species